GGAGAUGUACCCAAGCGGCUGAAGGGACCGCACUCGAAAUGCGGCAGGCCGGUAAUCCCGGUGCGAGAGUUCAAAUCCCUCCAUCUCCG
rnacentral:tRNA from 1 species